rnacentral:tRNA from 1 species
UCCCUGGUGGCUCAGACUUUAAAAGCGUCUGCCUGCAAUGCAGGAGACCCAGGUUCGGUCCCUGGCUUGGGAC